GUCACGUAUCUACCUCCAUCUUCACUGUAUGUACAUCCUAUCAGAUGCUAUUUCUAGGUGGUGCAUCUUUGCUUUGUCUUCACUUGGACUUCAAAAGGUCUUCAAAACUGAAGGAUUCAGAAUUGGAUUUCUGCUCUUGUUUUUUUUGGCACAAGUGGAAAUAUGGAUUGCAUUUUUUCAUGAAAUUCUUUGAGACUAUGAACUCCGAGUACCUUCCCUACAGCAAAACUGAUCAGUCCAACUCCACACCGGGCAUAAAGUGAACCCCAGCCUAAAGCACUCAGGGCAAGAGAUGAACCACUUUCCGGCAAGGCAGCUGUUGCAGUAACACCCUUAUUAAACCAAGAGGGGCUUUUCUUCUUUGCAAGGGACAAUGUUGUACCAAAACCAGCGAGCAUUCCUGCUGUUGCAACUGUGCCAAGGAAAAUCCCU